AUAGGUUUCAGGUGCCAAGCAUGGCUUAACAGGGAACCCCGUGAGAUUCGGGGACGGACCCGCCGCUGUAACCGAGGACGAAAUCUGCCGUUACCACUCUCCCACGCUUGUGGAAGGGGAAGGGGUAGAGAGUAGGAUGAUCCGGAAGUCAGAAGACCUGCCUGUAAC
rnacentral:ncRNA from 1 species